rnacentral:rRNA from 1 species
GGACAACCGCGGGAAACUGCGGCUAAUACCGCAUGACGAGCCGGGCCGGGAGGUUUGGUUCCAAAGGCUGUGAGGUCGCCUGUGGAGGAGCCUGCGUACGAUUAGCUUGUUGGUGGGGUAACGGCCUACCAAGGCGAUGAUCGUUAGCUGGUCUGAGAGGAUGAUCAGCCACACUGGGACUGAGACACGGCCCAGACUCCUACGGGAGGCAGCAGUGGGGAAUAUUGGACAAUGGGCGCAAGCCUGAUCCAGCAAUGCCGCGUGUGUGAAGAAGGUCUUCGGAUUGUAAAGCACUUUCGGCGGGGACGAUGAUGACGGUACCCGCAGAAGAAGUCCCGGCUAACUUCGUGCCAGCAGCCGCGGUAAUACGAAGGGGGCUAGCGUUGCUCGGAAUGACUGGGCGUAAAGGGCGCGUAGGCGGUUUGUACAGU